ensembl:lncRNA
GCAGCCUCCCGAGUGCUGGGAUUAUAGGUGUGCACCACCACACCCAGCAAAUUUUAGAUAUUAAGUAAUUGAUGACUUGAUGUAAGGUUAAAAAUGGGGAGUGAUAGAAACAAUAGAGGACGCCCAGUGUGUGAAGACCCUGGAGUCCCAUGAAGGGAGGUCUGGCAGCCCAGGCAUCGGAGAAUGCGUGGCUUCCUGGCCGUUUGCAGGGAGGAGAAACCGCAGAGGAGCUGGCACGGAAUCACUUCCUCAUGGACAGAUGAGAACCACCUGUAAUCCCAGCACUUAGGUGGCUGAGGCAGGAGGUUCGCUAUGAGUUCAAAGCCAGCCUGGCCUACAUAGUGAGCUCAAGACCAACCUGGAAUACAUAGUGAGACCUUGUGUCAAAAAAGAACCCAUGAGUGAAAUCCUUUCUCCUCCCACUUGUGAAACCCAAGUCCCCAGGCUCAUCAGAAGAACCUCUUGGGCUGAGUACCAGAGUCUCCUUGCCCCGCCAGUUUGGUGACAUGUCCCUCCAGCCCUGUUUUGGCCCCUUGGCUGCUUUCCCAGCUGUGCUCUUUCACACAGCCUUUGUCUCCACAGAUUGGAGAAACCAGACCAAAGCAAGUCCUGUGGGCAAGUAAAAGUUCAGGGAGACCUGUGAUCCCACAGAAAAGGAAAGGGUGAUCGGCAACAAGGGACGAGGAUCUAAUGCAGCGGAAAAGUGGUUUUGCAUUCUUUGUCUUUUUGUUGGGCUGGUUUCUGCCUGUGGUUAAAACAUGGAUCCCUUCACACUUAGGAGAGAUGAUGCCAGCGUCAGGAUAAUGCUGCAGUUUCUGGUGCAUCACCACAGACUUUUAUUAUUCAAAGCAAGUUAAUCUGCCAACAAGUAAUUCAUUUCCUCCAGGAUCCCUGCCCAGAAUGCUUCCACCAAUUGAUGGUUCUUGAAAGAUUAAUAUUCUUCAUACUAUGGUAUCUUGCUUUUUCUCUGUGGCAGCUCAAUUACUGUGAGCAUUUACUUUGCCCCAAUAAGGAGCACAUGUUUCAGUGGCAUUGGGGUACAUCUGGAAGCUGCCCUUGUUCAGGUUCUGUGGAGCCAGCAGGAGAGGCCAGGCAAGGUGACUCAUUCACAUGUCCUAUCACGAAGAAUUGGGAAUCCACUCAGGAAUUGCUUCUCUUACCAAAUAGUUUCUUUUAACACAUCAGAUCUUUCCAAGUUUGGGUCUGAUGUUGACAUAAUCCAACUUUCAAGGACUGGAGAUGACAUGCAUGCCCAGGAAAUAACAAAAUGCAUUCUAAGUUGGAAGUGGCCAGCCUAAAGGGUGAUGGAAAAUUUCUAUUGCUUCAUUUAUGGCCUUGGAAGUGUAUGAAAAAAACUGUUAUUGUGAAUUGCAUUGAUCAUUUAAUUAAAAGUACCCAGCUGCAUUGAUGGGUCAGAUGAACACAUUUGUUUACAGUCACCAGAGUGAAGAAAUUUGGGGGAGGAAAUUGUGACUACAUUUCCGCCAGAGUUCCUGGGUUCCAGGUAGGAGGAGUAAGUACACAGAGAAACAACAGAGUCCUGAAACUCGGGAAAUUCCACAAAUUGGUGCCUCUUGCCUUCUGUAGGCAAAACCCAUGUUUACAGAAGACCUCCUCUGCUAUCGAGUGAUUUGAGGACCUGGAUUUUGGGGAGUCUGAAUUUGCUUCCCUCUUCAGAUGCCCUUGUCAAUUGCAUGUGGCAUGAGAAUGAUCGCAGAACCCUAAAAUUACUAACCAGAUACCUGUUUGGAUGUUUUUAAGCUUAGAAAUACAAUGUCCAAUGGCAAUGCAAGCACAACCUUUUGCUCAUUUGGCUGUUGCUCUGAGACUUCCCCAGAGAUUACAAAUUUAUGUCCAAGAGUCAUGUUGACAAGGUAUGGCAGGUUGGGUCUAUAAAAAGAGAGGAGCUUGUUUGCAAAAUAUGUUUUUAUCUGUUGGUUCACCAGCUAAUUGAGAUCUGAGACAGAGUCUGGUUCCCGCCCUUACCACACUGACAAACGUUUUAACAGUUUUCUCCAACUUGAGCUCCUGGUUUGGUAGUCCUACUUAAGUCUAUUUCUGCCUCCAAAAGGUAGAUUCAGUCACAUUUCUUUUUUGGAAAAUAUAAAAGACAAGAAAAGUGAGACCUACUUCAUUUAAGUGGAUUGUCCAUGCUCACAGUUACUGGCAGAGUUUGAGUUGAAUCCAUCCAGCUUUUUGGACUUUUCUCAUUCAUUCUGCAAAGUUGUUUUU